rnacentral:lncRNA from 1 species
UUUUAUUCAUUUUGAUCUGGUGAAGUAAGGCCAUUUUGUGCCAACACAAAGUAGUUUCUAUUACCUGCAAAGUAAAAAUAACUCAAAGGCCGAUGUGUUAGAUUUCGUUAGUAAUAAGAAAAGAAAAAUGAUAAGGUAGGAAGUAAACAGAUAGAGUUGUUUCUCAUCUCAAUCGAAUUGAUCCAUGAAGUAACGAUGACUCGAGAAUUUCAAUGGACAGGAUUUUGCUCAAUGAUAUGGAUAGGUGAAAUUUAUCGGGAACACUCAACUUUUCUACUUUUUGGCCUUAUUACUUCUUUUUAAAAAGUGGAGGACAACAGAGCUUUUGAACACAUGGGCCAGGCCGGAAGGCUGCCUACGUAUCUCACAGAGGAGAAAUCAGGCCCUACGUAGUUCAAAGCUAUGAUGGCUUUUUCUGAUUCUAAAUUCAACUUUCCUAAAAUGAUAGCGAUCAUUUUGGAAGUUUUAAGAAUGACUGCAGACUUUUCUGAGAAACUUGGGAGACUUGGAGUACGUUUUGUCGGACUUUUGUAUAGUGGGGUAUAUUUCUGCCUAGAGAUGUUCUAUGAAAAAGGGGAUUGGAUCAAUUCAUCUUUGAUUUGAAUCAACAUAACACGUAUAAGAACAUAAACAGUUAUAUUACACAAACAUAUUGUAAUAAACGUGCAUCCUAAUUGGGUGACCCUUUUGAGCUAAUGGUUUAGGCCGAACGCAUUUUGAAGAAAAUAUACGUCUUUUUAAAGCCAAUUCAUUAUCCCCAAAAACCUUCAUAGGUAUACACAAAUGACAUAAAUAUCUACAAAAGUUGCACAAAAGGGAUACAAUCUUUAGGGAAAGGAAAAAUAACAUGAGAAAAAGAAUAAUGUCCCGCGCAUUGGAUAAGAAAUACUAGUUCUUGAAUACUCUUCUAUCAGCCUUCGCCCUCUUAGCUUUAUCCACUUCUUGUCAUUGGCGAGAUUCGUUGAUGAUCAAGCAAUUUCUGUAUAGCUGUGCCCUAGAUGCAACCGUUCAAAUCGAUCAAUUUCUUACUUGGCUUGCUUUAUUUCUUCUCUUAAUUGGUGUAUGAUUGAGGCUCCUUACACGAAAGUAAGCAAAUCAAGCAUUCGCCCGACCCCCAAAGGAUAAUGGAUUGGAUUAAAUAAAUAGAUAUUUAUUCAACACAUAAAUAUGAUUCAUCUGUAAUUGACUCAGGGUCAAUAAACGUCGGGCAGGUUUUCAAAUGGGCCCAAUAUCCCCUCGGGUAUUGGGUCAUUCUAGGAUCGUACCUAAAAUAGAAUUUUGGUUUCGCUCUAUCCUAGGUGUCUAGAGUGGAUUUGAACCAAGUUCCUAAGCGGACAACUUGGACUUGGAAAUACGAACAACCAUCAGAUGUCUCACGUGCUAAUAAACUAUUGUAUUUGCAACACUUUAUUUGGAGUUGAACAGCAGGGGCCGGGACAUCCAUGAAACCCCAAAACAAUUUAAUAAUUCAUGGGGGAUUAUGCAAUGAGAUGCAAUAAUUAAAUUACGUAAAAUCAAAACAUAUAAAUACGUAAGAAAUUUAAACAAUUAGUCAAAAAAUGAAAUCAAACUUUGGUUAGAUCCUAGUUAAAUUCCCCAGUGGAGUCUUCAUUUCUGUUUUACAAAAAUUUUGAUUUUUGAAAGUCGCCACUUAAUUUAUUUGAAAAGGAAUUAAGACAACCUUUAUAAAGUACUUGAACGAUUCAAAACAAGAAAAUAGUCCAAGUUAGAGAUUCUAGGUAAGCGAUUCCUAUUAACAUUCUAGGAAGUUUUUAAGGCACCUAAAACGUCCACUAACUUGCGAUUAUCCGAACUGCUUGAAAGUAUCUUUUGACUAACUUCAAAAAGAUUGAUUGUUGAAAUAUGAUUGAUUUUAGGAAAAGACUUGUGUAAAAUAGAUUUGGACGACUUAGUAGGGAUUUUAACUAAGUCUAAAUAAACUAACAACAAAGCAUGAAAAAGGAAAAGGAAAAAAUUAAAAGACUUAUGCCAUUGGACCCAAACCAAUAAGUCCUAUCCUAAUAUAAUUGGGAUUUUGGCCCACUUGCACCUUUCCUAAUCUAAAUGUUGGGCCUUGGCCCGUAACCUGUCCUAAACUAUUUUUCUAACCCGUUGGCCUAAAAUCUGCUCCACCUGUAUUAAAUGUACAACUUUGGCUUCGAGGCCCAAAUGAAUGAAUAAUGCAAUGAAGAAAUAAGUAAAUAAUAAUAAAAGGACAACAAUAAAUGAAGAAAAAUAAGACUUUCGAGUCUCUUUACCACUUUAAAGAUGGAACUUUAACCCAUUUUUCUUCUUUCGACUUCUGGUAUUCAUAUGCCAUGAGAUUACAUUUUUGGGCCUUCGAAGUUGACUCAGGAUGGAUGAGCCUCAUUGGCCAACAUCGAUAAUGCCACAACGGGAUAGAGUCCAUUUGGACUCGAAUGCGGGUUUGUGCGAAGAAAAGGUACAAAUAUUUAAUACAUGCAUGUAUAUACAUAUGAUAAAUUAGCAACUAAUCAUGUUGAAAAUUUUAUGAUAUUAUAAAAUAUACUCACACACAAAUUAAAAAUAAAAACAAUGAUUCAUGAAAAAAAAGAUAAAGGUAAAAAUAGCAAAUUCUCAUGAUUUCGAGUAACUGAAGUUAAGCAAUAUUAUUUUAAGGCUACAUCAAAAUUUGGUAGAGUAAGGACAUGAAUUGGACACCUAAAAAUAUUAGUGAAUAAACAAGGGAGAGGGGUAGUUAACAAGUGAGAACACAAGCAAACAAAGAACAAGUAAAUUUGUAUGCCAAAAGAAUCUCAUAUCAUAAGAGUUAUUACCUUGAACAAACACGCAAUGGAUUAACUGUAGGUUAAUAAAACUUGAACAAAACCAUGAAUUUCAAUCACAACAAAUAAUAUUUAUACUACUAAUCCGAUGGGCGAAAGGACUACAAUAUGUUGUCUUGUGUUCUAUAUGAUCACCAAAGUAAAAAUUCAAUGAAAAGAAUCAACAAAAAAGCUGCAUUAGUCAAGAAGGUUUUCAAACUUUCUAUCCAAACUUUCAAUUAAGCGUUAAGAUUACACCAAAAUGGAACUUAUCAAACAAAAAGAACUGGUGAUAAUAAACAAAACUUAAGAUGUCUGAAUGAAAAUAAUUAGUUAAAUUUUGAUCCCAUCAAGAAACUAAAACUAAAAUCAGUAGUUGAUACGUGAAAACCAAAGAGGAAUAAAACCACAGAAUCUUUUAAAUAAUCAGGAUUAAGUAUUAAGAAAAGGAUCCAUUUAUAUGAAAACAAUAUUCAGAUAAAAUUUAAGACUACACAAGAUAUCGAAAUGUAUUAUUUUCCUUUUAUACAGCUAGGCUACAAGAACAUCAACACACUCAAACCAGGACCUCAAAAACAUUAUUACGAAGCCAAGAGAAUGUUAACAACAUUCAACGUCAAGAGAAAACAAAACAAUUAUGAGUGAAACAAAUCAAGAACAUACUAUGCAGAAUUUAGUCAAGAUGUAAUUUUUCAACCAAGUAGUUAAACAAAUCGUGAUAUAGAGCUCGAGUCAAUCAAUUUUCGAUCAAUAAGAUAUUUUACAUUCGAGCAGGACAAGACGAGGAAGAAAUCAUUUUUAAGAUUUUAUACUUUAGCAAGAUAAACAACACGAAAAGAUUCACUAAAAACACACAACGAGACAUAUUUUACAGCAACUUACAAACAACACAAAAAGAGAUUAUAACUAUACGAUUAUCGCAGCAAGAAUAUCAUCGCAACUAUACCUAUGGCCUUCGAGGCCUCUACAGCAAGCAAUCCCAGCAUACAACAACUAUGAUUACUAAACUAUAGAGAAAGGAUUAAGAAGAAAACAAUGGCGAAUUAAAAGUAAAGGAGUUUACCUUGUUCGAGGCAACAAAAUUGUACUCGAGCUGUUAUCGAAAUCUCCUCGCCACCACCGAAAGCCAAGAUUAAAUCCAAAACUAACUAAGAGAAAUUUCAAUUGUAAUUUCCUUUUCCUCGAAUAUUUUGAAGUUUAUUCCUCAAAGGCCCUUUUUCUUUUUUUUUUCUCCUUCCUCCUCCUUUUCAAUGAAAACAGCAAGAAUAUCUAUAGGUAAAGCUUUAGGAUCCAGUUUUUAUUCCUUUCGAGGUGGGAUGGGAAAAUGGAUAGAAAUUCGAGGAGAGGAUUUCAAAAUUUCAAAAUAGGAUUAAUAUCCACCAUCCACCUAUGUACGAAUCGGACAAUGGUAAGAUAUUAUACCAUUGAGAGAGACAGUUGGACAAUUUCUAGGCUCUUCUAGAAGCGGACAGCUCAUCAAUCGCACAUAAAUGAUGAUUUUAGGACUGCAUCGGUUGUCAAUGCAUGAUGUUAUGUUUAUCAUGGGUUCAGGUCGGCAGGUCUGGUGCGGGUCACCGUUUAUGGUGGGCGUUGGAACUAGUCAGUUCGGAGAUUACUGGUUGAAAUUGUCGUUAUU